AGAUGAAUAAAUAUUUCAAUUCUACUUCCAUUGUGCUUCUUUUUGAUAUAUAUUCAAAACAUUGAAUGAGAUUGAUGGAGCAGUAGAAAUAUGAGUUUAAAAGGACCAUCUUUCAAAUAAUUGAAGGAUUGUAAUUAUCCAAACAAAUGAAGAAAUAAAAGAAAUAAAAAGAAGUAGAGCUUUGAAUUUUAAUAAACUUAGGAGAAUGAAACCAAAGAAGAUAAUCAUAGCCGGGUCUCGUAUUAGGUUCGGAUCAGAUCGGGUAGUCUAUCCCAAAAUCCAAAUGAUCCAAAAGUCUUCACGAGUCCAGUCAAGUUGGUC
rnacentral:lncRNA from 1 species